UAAUCUCAGCGGCAAAUGAUUAUCCUAUUUUGAAUUGGGAGACCAUGAAUUCAGUUUUCUAAUAUCUAGAUACUAUUCCACUCAUCCGUUGCCAUAGUUACCAGUCAAUUGCAAUUUACACUUUUCUGUCUCGCUAAGCGUACAAUAGUUUUUAAAUAAAAAUACUUUAUAACACAAAAAUAUCCACUUUUAUAUUUAAAGUUAUCAAGAGAAAUAGAAAUAAUGUAAAGUUAAUGUAGGUGAUGGAGAUUUGUGGAGCUUUUAGAAUUGAAUUUAUUGAUCUUCUACUAUAUAUUACUUAUUAAAAAAAAAUUAUUUUAGAUUGUCUAAAAUAAAAUUUCAUUUCAGUAUACCAUGAUACAUCCAUUAACACAGUAACAUGCAUCCAUUAACAUAGAGAAGUAUUUUCAACAUCUAUACAUCACAUGGUUGAACAAAUUUUCAAGAAUCCUGCAUUGCGAAUUCUAGCACAUUCUUUUCUUGCUAAUACUGCCACCUCCCCCAUAUUUGCAACAAUGCUAGUAGAAUAUCUUCUAAAAAGGAUGGAAGAAAUGGAUGUAAGUAAUAUUUACUGUGAUAACUUUUUCAAAUAAUUUUGUUUAUUCUUUUUCUUUUUUUUUAUUGCAAAAAAUUAUUUUAACAUAUGUGUCUCACAAAAUUAAAUGUGUACUGGUGAACUUUCAAAGUACAAAAUAAUAAUUACCACAUUAAAAGUGAUAAAUGCUUAUAUAUUUACUUAUUAUGAAGCAUAACUAUUAACACUUAUCUAUUUAGCAUUAUCUGCAUUGUCAUUGAACAAAUGUUACAAUUUUUUUAUAUAUUCAAUUCCUUUAUAAUCAGUUAUUUUCUAUGAUGUUUAAACAAAUAAUUGUCAUUUGGGUACUGAUGAUAGACAACAAAAUGAUACAUUUUUAUCAUGUGAACGUAUAUUUGUUAAGUAGGAAUUUCGUUUAAAAUAUUUUUUGUAAAAUGAAUUUCUUAAGGUUUUGUGAUUAACAAAUAUAUUUUUUACAUGUAUAAAUUUUUUUUACAUGUAUUCUGCACAUUUUAUUUUUAAACAAGUGAACUUAUUUCAUAACAUUAUAUAUUCUUCAGAGCAAAUAUGGACAGAUCUAACUUGUACAUGAAGCUUUUUGAACUGGUUUUUGGAUCAGUGUCUUUGUUUCCUGCUUAAAAUGAGGAAAUGCUAAAAGUAAUUUUUACAUUCUUUAAUAAUUACUUGUAUUUAAAAAAAUAUUUUAAAUAUACUUUUUUGUUGUUGCUUUUAAUUGUUAAAGUAACCUUUUUUUCCCCUUUCUAGCUCUAUUUACAUCAAAUAGUAAAUAGAUCCAUGGAGCUAGCUUCAAGUGCUAAAGAACCAUAUAAUUAUUUCCUUCUUUGUAGAGCCUUGUUUCGGUCUAUAGGAGGUGGUAGUCAUGAUUUGUUGUAUCAAUAAUUCUUACCUUUAUUACCAAAUUUAUUGCAAGAUAAGUAAAAUAAGUUUUUUUAAUUUAUUUAUUCGUCACAAUUUUUUUUCCUCUAUUAUUUAGAAAAUUUGUUUUUAUUCUAUCAGUUCAUAACUUUAAAAAAAUUCUAAUUACAUCUUUUGCUUAUGCUUUUCUGGGAAUAGAUGAUCUUAAAAAUUUAAAAAUAUAUUUGUGGAAUCGCUAAAAUGAAAUUAAAAUUAGUUAUAUUUCUCAUGAAUUAAAGGUAUUAUUAAAUUUGGUAUGAUAAUUUUGGCAAUGAUGUUUUAAACAAUUAACUGACCACACCUGUUACACUCUCACCUGCCACUCUUUUGUCUUAAGGACUGAAAUCAGUCUUGAGAAAAGAUCAAUGGGCUGAAUUCUCUCCUGGAAUUAAUAUUUAUUUGUAAUUUUUUUAAAUUAAGUUUUAAAAACAAACUUAAAAAAACAUUUUUUUCUUUAAAAAAUACAAUAAUGCAUGUGAGAAUAAAUAAAUAAAAAUAAUCUUUCUAUGAAAAUUUUGUUAUUUUUCAUAAUAAUUGCAAAUGAUAUCACAACACAACAAAAGAAUGUAAUGGACUUCAACAUCUGCUUGUAUGAACAAAAUUUUUAUUGUUGAAUCUGCUUCAGUUAGUGACUUUUCCAAAAUUUUGAGGUGCUGGGUAACUCUCCUUUCCUUUUAAGUUUGAAAAUUGCCUGUAUUCUGUAGCAAUACUUAAAAAAUUUUUCAUUUCACUUUACUAGAGUUAAAAUAUUCCUUUAUUUCUGUGUAAUCUAUUUCUUGUACUGUUUUUUUUUUUUGUUUGAAAAUUAUUAACUUUAGUAUUGUAAAUAUUUAAGAAAUUUUUCUUAAGCUGUUGUAACCAUUUUGGUAUGUUAUAUUUAAAUGCUCUUGCUUUUUUAUGGUAUAAAGUUAUUUAUAUUUACAUGAAAUAUGUGCAGCAUUUUUUGAUUUCAAAAUUUUUACUUUGUCUUUUACCAACUUAAAAAUGAGCUAACACCUACCUUCAAUUUAAGUAAAAAAAAUAAGAAAUCUAUUAGAGCCACUCCUUGACUAUAAUUUGUUUUAACCUCCCCAACAUACUGAGCAUAAAUUUAAACAAUUUCUUGUUACAACUUUUUCAAUCCUUCUUGUAUGUUUACUUAAUCUUCAUAAUUGUUUCAUUCUUUCAUUUAUAUUUGUUAAACAUUUAAUGAUUUACUGUGUUCUAUAUUUUUCCUAUUCUUGUUGCUAAUAAAUUAUAAUUUUUAAUACAUUUUUUUAUUUUAUUAUG